GUACACGCUGUGACUAGCAUAUCAAUAAGCGGAGGAAAAGAAACUAACAAGGAUUCCCCUAGUAACGGCGAGUGAAGCGGGAAGAGCUCAAAUUUGAAAUCUUAAAGGGUUUCCCUUUACGAAUUGUAGUUUAAAGAAGUGUCUUCUGUUGAGGUUUUGGUAAAAGUUCUUUGGAAUAGGACAUCAUAGAGGGUGAGAAUCCCGUAUUUGACCUUUACUUUCAACUUUGUGAUACACUUUCAAAGAGUCGGAUUGUUUGGGAAUGCAGUCCAAAAUGGGUGGUAAAUUUCAUCUAAAGCUAAAUAUUGGCGAGAGACCGAUAGCGAACAAGUACCGUGAGGGAAAGAUGAAAAGAACUUUGAAAAGAGAGUUAAACAGUACGUGAAAUUGUCAAAAGGGAAGCGUUUGACACCAGUGUUGUUUUUCUGAAAAUCAAUUAAAGAACUGUUUAUGCUAAGCUGUUUAGACUUUAUCAGCUAUCUGUUUAGUUUUGAGCUUUUCUUUAAUGCACUUUUCAGUUAACAAGUCAACAUCAAUUUCUUUUGCUGUAAAAAAGCUUGAGGAAGGUGGCUUGAGAUUCGUCUUAAGUGUUUAUAGCCUCUCGCCUAUGCAGUCGGAGAGAUUGAGGUCAUGCAGCGUAGAUCCUUCGGGGCUAAAUGCAUUUGUGCUAAGUUAUAACAUUUUAUAGACAACUUGUUGACUAUGAUUUGUCUUGUAGCUUACUCGCUUAUGUUAUUUUACCUACGCUUAGGAUGUUGACGAGACUGUCGAUCUCAUCUAUACAUGACUCUGGCGCAUAUCAAUAAGCGGAGGAAAAGACUGCGGAACUGAACGACCGCUACCUACGCUUAGGAUGUUGAAGAUGUAGCACAUCAU
rnacentral:rRNA from 1 species